AUCACGCCUGGGUUCUCUCUUUUGCGAUUGAGGAGUGUGCUUUGCAUCCUCGCUCCCUUUAUCUCCACAUAACAGAAACGGCGGCGUCCUCCUUUUCUCUUUCUCAUCGGUAAGCCGUAUCUAUCUCUUUCUGGCUGCUGCCAACUGCUCUAUGUCCGCUUCGAGAUCGAGAUUUUAUCACUUGGCUCUUUCUCUUUCUCGUUUUUUAAUUUCCAGGGUUUCGAAUCUGUAUCUUUUAUAUCCCUUUGAUUUUCGAGCAAGUUUGGAACUUAAUAUAUUAUUUUGAGGGGAUUCGAAUUGAUGUUUUUUUUACCUCUUUAAUGCUUAGCUUUUGUGCUGCUUUGGGGUUUCAAAUUACUUGCCUUAGGGUUAGGUAAUUUAGUUUUCGUGAAUUUGGGAUAGCUUGAAAAAAAGUGGCGGGAUUAGGGUUCUAUAGGCGUGAAUAAAGGGUAGCUGGAUUGCAAUUAGGGUUUUGUAUUGUGAAGCUUUGAGUUUUGGAUAUAUGGCCGCUGGGAGACACGGGGGUUAUCACGAUAAUGAAUUCAAGGACCGGGAGUCUGAUUUUGAACUAUUAAAAGAGGAUAUUGCUUAUUCCAAGGAUAAAUAUGAUAGAAUUGGGAAUGGUAAUGCUGAAAAUGAUAGGGGUCAAGUUCAUCACUUAAGAGAUAGCGCUAGGGUUAGGCAGAAGGAUAUUAAGGAGACGGGGGUGACUAAUGGUAGGUAUCGGUCCUCUUCCAGCAGGAGUGAUUCAGGAAGUAGUGGUGGUGGUGGUGCCCUAAGGUCACGGAGGUUUGGGUUUACUGUCAGGGCCACUGAUAAGGAGCCAGGUGAGUUGUCCAGUGAGAGUGGGUCUGAUGAUGGCAGUUACCCUGAGUCACAUGCUCAUAAAGAUAGUGAGGUUUUGAAAGUAACACCAGUGGAGAAGAAGAGGAAGUUUUCUCCUGUAGUUUGGGAUAGAGAUGAAAAGGCUACCAGUAGCUUAUCAAAAAGUUGGAGUUCCCCUGCAGCGGCCACUCUCCCUCCACCGCCACCCCUGCCUAAGGCAUACCGCCAGUCACCAAAUGUUAUUCCAGAUGGAGGUGUAGAGAUCUCUCCUGUUAUAAGCAGUAAGAACCUGACUCUGCAGUCUUCUUCACCGCUGAAGGGUUCGGUAGUUAAAGGGUCUGUUGGCAAUUCUGCAUCCAACUCUCCAGUAGAGUUGGCUUUCUCACUGAAGGGUUCGGUGGUUAAAGGGUCAGUUGGCAAUUCUGCAUCUGAGUCUUUGAUAGAGUUUGCUUCCUCACCAGUGGAGGAGCAAUGGAGUAAUGACCAGGAAGUACAGCACAUAGAAGAUGAAGAUUAUGCUCCAAUGAGGAAUAUAUCAUCUUCACGAUGGGCAGAUGGGAACAAUUCUCCUGUUGAUGAGGGUGAAAUUGUGGAGGAUCAAGAAGUUCCUAAAAGGAGGAAGGCUCAUUUGGAGUCCUCGGAUUUCAGAGUACGCAACAAGUCAUCGACGCCUGAUCUGGGGGAUCUUAAAAAAGAAGGAUCUGACGCAGCUAGAGGGAGGUCAUCUGAAUCUGAUGAGCGAGGCACCUGUGCUAGGUCUUCAAGUGGGGAUGAUCAUCCUGGUAAUGAUUCUGGGAGGGACGACUACAUGGAGAUUGAUGACGAACAUGAUAACAAUGAUUCUGAUACAGAUCCUGAGGAUGAAGAUGAAAAUGAUUCGCGCGAAACACCAGAACCUGCUGGUCCACCUCAAAGAAGUAUAAAAAUGCUUCAGGGAUGUAGAAGUGUUGAUGAGUUUGAGAGAUUGAAUAAAAUAGAUGAAGGAACUUAUGGUGUUGUAUAUAGAGCUAGGGACAAGAAAACUGGGGAAAUUGUAGCAUUGAAGAAGGUAAAGAUGGAGAAAGAACGGGAAGGUUUUCCACUGACUUCUCUCAGGGAAAUAAACAUUCUUCUUUCUUUUCAUCAUCCGUCAAUUGUUGAUGUUAAAGAAGUUGUGGUAGGGAGUAACCUUGAUAGCAUUUUUAUGGUGAUGGAGUACAUGGAACAUGACCUUAAAGGACUCAUGGAGUCUAUGAGACAGCCAUUUAGUCAGAGUGAGGUUAAAUGCUUAAUGCUCCAGUUGUUGGAAGGUACGAAGUAUCUUCAUGAUAAUUGGGUGCUUCAUCGAGAUCUGAAGACAUCAAAUCUGCUUUUGAACAAUCGUGGUGAGUUGAAGAUCUGUGACUUUGGGCUGGCUCGUCAAUAUGGGAGCCCAUUGAAACCGUAUACCCAUUUGGUAGUUACCCUGUGGUACAGGGCGCCAGAACUUCUUUUGGGAGCCAAACAAUAUUCGACGGCAAUUGACAUGUGGUCACUUGGCUGCAUUAUGGCCGAAUUGUUAUCAAAGGACCCUCUGUUUAAUGGCAAAACAGAAGUUGAUCAACUUGACAAGAUUUUCCGAAUCCUUGGUACACCUAAUGAGACAAUCUGGCCUGGGUUUUCCAAGUUACCUGGAGUGAAGGUCAAUUUUGUCAAGCAGCAGCUUCCAGCUGGGUGAUUCUGGUAUAACCUACUCCGUAAGAAAUUUCCAGCAACAUCCUUCACUGGAUCACCGGUGCUUUCUGAUUCUGGAUUUGAUUUGUUGAACAAGCUUCUAACCUAUGAUCCUGAGAAGCGAAUUACUGCUGAAGCUGCUCUUAACCAUGAUUGGUUUCGUGAAGUUCCUCUUCCAAAGUCUAAAGAUUUUAUGCCUACUUUUCCUGCUCAGCAUGCUCAAGACAGGCGUCUCCGAAGAAUAAUGAAGAGUCCAGAUCCUUUAGAAGAGCAGCGGAGAAAGGAGUUGCAACAAGGGGAGUUAGGGACUGGUGGUUUGUUUGGCUGAGAGAUUAGUUGGUCAACCUUGGCUCUGAGCUUAAUUCUUCCAUUUUGCAUGCUACUGACACAAGAUGAGGUUGAGGUGAGAGAUAUCCAUUGAAAGGAAGUUGCGAACAUUGUUUCUGAGACGAUCAUUUGUACUUUUCUUAGCAGGCCUCUGUGGUGAUUUGGGUGAGGAAAAUAUUUGCCUCCUGCCAUCAACCAGUUAUGUUUCAGGUUAACUCUGCUCUUCAGCUUUGUUAACAUAUAGAUGUGCCUGGGGCACUGCUUUCAUCGCAAGGUGUGGCAUAAUGGCUUUUCAUUUUAAAAUAUCAGUUUCAGCUGAAACCAUUUGGUGUGAAGUCCUGGAGACGUUCUUAGCUUUUCAUUGAUGAAGAAAUAGGCAAUAACAUAGAAUGUUAAAGCAUGCGCUGAGCAAAUAUGACGCCUUUCAUCCUGUUUUACAUUUGAUGAUGUGAAAGAUGAAGAUUUGACCCAUCAGAAUGCUUUUAUGACAUUGUCUGUGGAUGUCACUGCAGUAUCAAAGCUAGCAGGUCGGGGAGGUUACCUGCUGUGGAUUUUAUAGAACUUUCAGUUAGUUGUCUUCAGGCUCAAUAGAGGUACAACACAAACCUCAGAUUCAUCUGAUUGAUCUCUUAAUAUUUGAUUCCUUUAGAUGUCAAUGUACUUCAGGCGAGCUUAUUCUUCACGGUUCUCUGUCAAUUUUGUUCCUGUGAUGGUAAUCUUCUGUAGGAUUUGGCACUUCUAAUCUUUAGGGCCUGCUUCUCAAUUGGGUUGGAUUUUAUUUUAUUGUUUUGACGCUGGGAGGGGGGUUGGGUUUACUCUCCUGAUAAUUCCAUCAAUAUGGCAUUUAGGCAAGGACUUGGGCACAACUCUGGCAGGGUUGCAUUUUUGAUCAAUUAGCAAUGCACUUCAUCAAUUGUUUGGAAAUUCUUUCAUUUAUUACUGCAAGCUAUGUAGGGGUCCUUUUCCACUUUUAAAUCGCAUCCUGUUUAAGCUGGCCCAUUUUAUAGUAAGAAAAUAUGAAAGCUCCCAUUAGGACAUUUUAUGUUUGUUACCA